UACGGGGGGGGCAAGCGUUGUUCGGAAUUACUGGGCGUAAAGGGCUCGUAGGCGGCCAACUAAGUCAGACGUGAAAUCCCUCGGCUUAACCGGGGAACUGCGUCUGAUACUGGAUGGCUUGAGUUUGGGAGAGGGAUGCGGAAUUCCAGGUGUAGCGGUGAAAUCCGUAGAUAUCAGGAGGAACAUCGGAGGCGAAGGCGGCCAACUGGGAGAAUAUUGACGCUGAGGUGCGAAAGCGUGGGGAGCAAACAGG
rnacentral:rRNA from 1 species